rnacentral:rRNA from 1 species
UACGUAGGGGGCGAGCGUUGUCCGGAUUUAUUGGGCGUAAAGAGCUCGUAGGCGGUUUGGCAAGUCGGGUGUGAAAACUCCGGGCUCAACUCGGAGACGCCACUCGAUACUGCCAUGACUCGAGUCCGGUAGGGGAGUGCGGAAUUCCUGGUGUAGCAGUGAAAUGCGUAGAUAUCAGGAGGAACACCUGUGGUGUAGACAGCUUACUGGACCACUUCUGACGCUGAGACACGAAAGCGUGGGUAGCAAACAGG